rnacentral:lncRNA from 1 species
GUACAGUAAACUGCUGUUGCUGUAGCCUGUGAAGCCUGGCCAGGAUCUUAAGACAAAGAUAUGUAAGCAGGCAAAAGGGCAGGAGAGUGGAUGGUAGGCAAAGAUGAAUCAGCACUGGUUGCAAAGUGGCAGUUUUGUAGCUUUUACUGCCUGUGUCUCUGUGGUCCACAGGAGAAAGAAGUCUGUGAAGGAAAAGUUCCACACCAGGUUCCGAGGGAGAUGGAAGAAAGGCUGCCUAAACAACUGCCUCCUCCCAAAAUGUCCCAGAAUUCACCACCGCAUGAGGUCAGGGAAGACCCUUGUCCGUGCAAGACAGACCACGUGCAGAAACACAGUGGUAAACUGUUGAAGAGAUACUCGGCUACGGAGUAUAUACAGCAGUGGUAACAACAGNAAAGUUACAUUGGAAGGAAGAAAACCUCUUCUGGGACUCCGAGCUGGAAGACGAAUGCUGUUGUUGUCAGUGCUGUGAAGUGCUGACCAGAAUGAAGAAUGACCUGCUCCCAGGCAUGAGGAAACCCUCAGAACCAUAAAAUAAAAGUUCUCCGGCAUGGCA